AUCCCAUGAUGAGGAUAGGAGAGUAUGUAUUCUUGAAGUCUCUCCCAAGCUUCUAGGAUGGAUUCCAUCCCCGUCUGUUGGAAACUUGAUAUCUUCCACGCAGGGC